rnacentral:misc_RNA from 1 species
UUCCAUCAAAGUAAUAAUCUCCCAUUUAUUGAAUGAAUUAGAUUGAUUCUAUAAUUGAUUGCAGUGUGAAUCCCUAGCUCUAGAAUGUUUUUAUUAAUUAAUAUUCAAGUUUUGUUAAUUAUUUUAUAUUUUAUUUCUUUUAAUUUAGAUUUAAUCACUAGUUCUAUACAAUUUGAUCAUCUAGAUAAUUAAAGUCACUAUAGUUUAGUACUCAACACGGUCUUCUUGGGAACGAUACUCUACUCACUACUAUAUUACUUGUUCGCGAUCUGUACACUUGCGGUGAUUGCAAACCAGCAAACAAAUUAUAGGCUAAAUCACUUAUUUACAUCCCCACUCAAAUUGAUGCACAUUGUCAACUAGCAUCAAUUUGCCAACUAAGUAAUCAUGGCGGGCAUGUGUCAUCGAUUUUGUGAAGAGAUUAGCGACUUGAUCUUGAAAAGGAACAUGAAGAAGGUGGAGAGUUUGAUCUUGCACAAGUUCACGAAUAUAAUGACAAUCUACCUCAAUAUGCUUACUACGUUCAUGAUCCACUGGAUUCGUAGCUAUUCUGAUAGCACUUAUAUUAUCAGCAUAGAGAGAAGUUGGUUGAUCAGAUGAAACUCCAAAAUCCAAGAGUAGUGGAUGGAGCCAAACUACUUCUAAGCUGACAUAUGACAUGAAGCGAUAUUCAACUUCAGUAGAUGACUUUGCAACUCUAUCUUGUUUUUUGCAUUUCCAAGAAAUGGGGACUAAAUCUAAGAAAACACACCAGUCAGUAGUUGAUCGUCAUGUGUCGAGACAACCUGCAUAAUCUGCACCUGCAAAAGCCACAAGUUGUAAUGAGUAAUUUGAAGGAAAGAAUAAGCCUUGCCUCAUUGUUCCUUUUAGGUAGCGGAUAAUACGAUGAACAGCGGUUAAAUGUAAUCUUCGAUGGAUCAGACAUAAAUUGGCUCACCACUUAGGCAACAUAUGAGAUGUCAGGUCUAGUGGUAGUAAGAUAGAUAAGACUACCAACAAGCCUUCUAUAGAGAGUAGGAUCAGAUAUGGGUUCCCCAUCAUCUCUUUUUAAUUUGAGAUUGGGUUCCAUAGGUGUAGAACAAGUUUGAUCAUCAGUAAGAUUGGCUAAUUUGAUCAAAUCUGUUGUAUAUUUAUGUUGGUUGACAAAGAGACCAGCAGGGGAGUGAGAAACUUCCAAACCUAAAAAAUAAGUCACUUGUCCAAGAUCUUUCAUAUGAAAUGAGGACUGAAGAAAUUGCUUGAAUUUAUGAAUUCCCUCCCUGUCACUUCCUGUUAUAAGCAUAUCAUCCAUAUAAACCAAUAGAACAAUAAUUCCUUUGGAAGAAUGACAAGUGACUAAUGAAGGAUCAUUAGAACUUUGCUGAAAGUUGGCCAUUUUAAUGGUAGAAGAAAAUUUCUCAAACCAUGUACGAGGGGCUUGUGUGAGACCGUAAAGAGAUUUUCGAAGUUUACAUACCAUAUCUGGAUUUGAAAGAGAGUACCCAGGUGGAGGCUUCAUAUAAAUAGUUUCUUUCAAGUCCCCAUGAAGAAACGCGUUUUUAACAUCCACUUGAUGUAAUGGCCAUUGUUUUCCAGAAGCAACAGCAAAAAGAGUACGGGCCGUGGUCAUUUUGGCUACUGGAGAAAAUGCCUCCUCAUAAUCAAUUCCAUACUCUUGUUUAUACCCCUGAGCCAUCAACCUUGCUUUAUAUCUGUCAAGAGAACCAUCAAGCUUAAGUUUAACAGUGUAUAUCCAUUUAUUACCAAUCAAUAAAGCAUUCGUUGGGAUAGGACCUAAGUUCCAAGUAUGAUUAGUUCAAGAGCCAAAAGUUCUUCUUCCAUUGCAUGUCUCUAACAAGCAUGCUCUACUGCUUGCUUAUAGGUAGAAGGUAUAGGAAUAGAUUCAAGGGUGCUAAAAAAAGAAGUGGAAGGAUCAUACCGCUGUGGAGAGUAACCAUAUCGAUUUUGGAGGAUGGCCAAGCUUGAGACGAAGUGACCGUCGUGGUGGUGGAGUUGAUGGUGACUGUGUUGGUGAGGUUGGAGUGGAUUCAAGAGUAAUUAAAGGACCCUUAGAAUUGCGAUCAGGUUGAGGUAUAAUAGGUUGAGUCACCGUUGAACCUGGAUCAACUUCUAAUGAAGAGGUUAGAGAAUCAUUAGCAAAAAAAGGUAAGAAAGAGAUAGGCUCAUUAGUGUUUGGGUGAUAAGAAGCAUAAGAUGAAGGAAAAAAGAUUGAAUUUUCAAAAAAAGUGACAUGACAGGAGAUGGGUAUCCUUUUUACGUCACAAUCAUAGCAUAUAUAUCCUUUAUGUUUAUCACUAUAACCAAGAAACACGCAUUUGGCAGCUUUGGGGGAUAAUUUGGUACAUUCAUGAGGGGGUAAUAAAACAAAACACAUCCAAAAACACGAAGUGAAGAAUAAUCAAGGAAUUUUUUAUAUAAACAAAACCAAGGUGAUUUGUUAUCAAGCAUUGGAGUUGGCUGUCUAUUGAUGAGAUGUAUAUACUGCUGUAUGGACAACUUCAACCUAGAAUUUUGGUGGUACAUAAGAUUCAAGUAAAAGGGUAUGGGCAAGUUCAAUAACACGGUGAUUUUUUCUUUCCACCACACCAUUUUGUUCAGAUGUUUGUGGACAUGAUUGCUAUGGUAUGGUUCCCUUUUCUUGAAAGAAAGUAUUAAGCGGUGAAGAACAAAAUUCUCCACCAGGAUCAGAUCUAAAUUUGUUAAUAAUCUUUCCAAAUUGUGUCUCAAUCAUAGUAAAAAAAGAUUUUGCAACAUUAGUCAGAUCAGAUUAUGCACGCAAAAAGUAUACCCAAGUGUACCUUGUAUGAUGGUCAAUGAAAAGAACAAAGUAUCUAUAGCCCAAUCGAGAUAAAAUUGGAGAUGGACCCCAUAAAUUAGCAUGUAUUAACUCAAAUGAUUCCUCUACUUUAGAAGUACUAUGAGAAAAAGGGAGUUUUGUAGCUUUAACAAUAGAACAACUUUCACACUUCAAAGAAAGUAAAUCAACGGGAAUGCUUAAUUUUUUCAGGAAGAAAACUGGAAUUACACGAGUUUGAGCCUAUUGUCAUGAGGGUGUCCAAAGCGUCGAUGCCAAAGACACCAUUUUUUAUUAGCUAAUGAAAAUUUGGAAGCUAAAGAAACAGAAUGACAAAAUGGAACAGAAUACUUUUUGGCGCAAUGAGAUGUAGAAGGGAUAUCCAGGUCCAACGGGAAAUUGCCCUUGCUUAUGACCCUUCCUGAUCAGUUUCCCAGUUUGCAGGUCCUAAUAAACCAGCAGCGGAGAAAGCAGAGGAUAUAGCACCUAGAAGAGCUGAUUGUAAAGUAGAUUGAAUCAUUUGUUGUAUAGCAUCUUGAGUGAGAUUGAUACUAGUGGUAUUGGGCACUUCUUGCUCUGCAGGUCCAUUUGAAGUGAAUAAGGCAGCUUGGUUGUGUUUGUUCCUUUGCAGGAGACGACACUCAAGUAUCACAUGUCCCUUCUUCUUACAGUAAUUGCAUACAUUCGUCUUCUUGCAAUGAGACUGUAUAUGCCACAUUUCUCCACAAAAUCUGGUUUAAGCUCUUGGAGUGAU